GACUACAGUUGAGGGCAGAGGAAGAUGUGCAUAUAUGAACCACAAAGCUAUUGCCAGCUCCAGCUGCUCAAGAGAAGAACACUGGAUCUGCAGCAAACCAGCUGAGAGCUAUCAGUUUGUCACCGCCUGAGUCCAGCCUUUGAAUGACUAUGGGACCAGCAAGAAAGAUCGGAGAUACCUACUGUUGACAUUUCCGUGCCAGAGCCAAUUAAGGAUGCCCUUGAGACAGUGCAGCCUCUCCUGGGUUCUCCGGAUGGUUUACUGUUUGAUCGAAGGGCUUUUCUGAAAACAGACUGUUCUCAGAAGCAAAGCUUAUGAUGAAGCGCCAGAUUAGCGGAGCAAGGCGAUUAUGGCUAGUCCAGUUCUCUUGGGAAGAAUUAGGGAAGCAGGCACCUGGUGAGAUGUCUUUGGAGGACCAAUUCUCUUGGGAAGAAUUGGGGAGUCCAGCACCUGCUCUAGGGGAGCUUAUGAACUUCUAUAAAAGUUUUGCUCUGAAAACCUUCGGUGCGGUGUCAACUUAACUUCUGACUGGGAAGCAUCGUCAUCUCUUGUUCCUGAUUUCCAAGUGGCCUGAUGGUGCACUUACUCUGGAUGUUGGUUUACCUUCUGGCCAAGUUGGGACUGCGUUUCAGCUCCUGAACAUCUAGUUUUGUCUAGCCCUGAAUCCUGAUUUUGACAUUUAUUCUAAAGGACUCUUCUUGCUCCCUGCUCUUUUUCCCACUCAAAACUCAGACGGAGUUUGAGUGUGUUUCAGUUUCUGGAUUUUGAACUCUAAUACUGGACAUAAGACUUUAUCUUAUUGGACUAAAAUUGAUCUUUUCUGGAAGGUCAAUUGCUACUUUUUACUUUGCUGCUUAUUUCCAUUUGGAACUUUAUUUGCUUUAAUAAAGAUAUUAUAUUGUUA